rnacentral:rRNA from 1 species
UACGUAGGGUGCAAGCGUUGUCCGGAAUUAUUGGGCGUAAAGAGCUCGUAGGCGGUCUGUCGCGUCGGCUGUGAAAACCCGGGGCUCAACUCCGGGCCUGCAGUCGAUACGGGCUGGCUUGAGUGCGGUAGGGGAGACUGGAAUUCCUGGUGUAGCGGUGAAAUGCGCAGAUAUCAGGAGGAACACCGGUGGCGAAGGCGGGUCUCUGGGCCGUAACUGACGCUGAGGAGCGAAAGCGUGGGGAGCGAACGGG